UUUACUGUCUUUGAAGAUGAAGUCCUCUGUUUAUCCACACAACACGUACAGGACGACACAUUCUCAAGUUUCCCUACUAGUGUGGAUCAUUCCUGUCCUAGAAUGUAGUUCAGUCUCCAUACCCAUUCAGUCUUUGCCCUCU
ensembl:misc_RNA